ensembl:lncRNA
AUGAAAUGUAGUGUUGAAACCAAUUCACCCAAACCAAGCCACGUUCAAUCUGACCCAGAACGCAGUUCCACCUCGAAAUUCCAGCCCUGGGUUUACCAACCCCUUGGUGAUCAAGGUGCUUUACCCUCUCUGAUGAAUAACCCUGUUCUGAAGCAGUACUCUAAAAUCAGUAUAAUCUCUGUGACAUACCAGUCUGUUGUCUUUCAGAUCACAUCUUUUGGACUGGCUGGAGGAAUGACCACCAAGGAGACUGUGUGGAGAACACUAACACAACUCCUGACAAAUGCCAUGAACUGGAGAGGGGCCAAUGGGAAGGAGGCAUUCGAACCACUUGCCCUGGUGGCACUGUUUUUGUCACAAGGUGCCAACAUCAAUGCUCAGAUAGAGGAGACAGUAAUCAGUGAUGGUCUAACAUGUGUUGAGUCAUACUGCUUUUUUUAAUAACUUUGCAUGGGUGAGUUGGAUUAAUGGAUGGUCCAUUGUGUGUCUACAACGGUCUCCACUCUGACAGGAAAAGACAUGCACUGCUGUGAAGGAUCCUGCCUGACUCAAAUGCUUCAAAUGGCACAGUUACUGGCACAGGCUGUCUGUUUGACAGGCAUUUAUCAAAAGGAAACCACCAGAACACUAUCCCUAAAAACAGUGAAUAAAGUGAUUGUUUGAUUGAACCCGUUUUAUCAUAGACUAAUUACAUGUAGACUACAUAUUUUGUUACCCUUUCCUGAUUUAAAAAAGGAGGCUGCGAAUUUUUGCAGCUUUUUGUUAAAAAUCGCGCAAAAUUUCAAUGUCCUCCUACUCAUGCCAGGAAUAUAGUAUAUGCAUAUGAUUAGUAUGUGUGGAUAGGAAACACUCUGAAGUUUAUAAAACUGGUUGAAUCAUGUCUGUGACUAUAACAGAACGUGUUUAGCAGGCAAAAUCCCAAGGAAAACUGUUCAAAAAAAAAAAAAAAAAAAUAUCCCUCCGCCAGUCUCUGUAUUGUCUAUGGCAAGGGAAAAUAGAUAGCGUCCAGUUUACAAUGCCUACAGCUUCCACACGAUGUCACCAGUACUGGCAUUUAGAUUGAAGUUAAUCCUUGGUGAAAUGAGGAAUAGGCACUUCCUGUCUUCGGGUACACCGGAGGAAGUUAUGAAAGACAGAAUGUGGACCAUGAUUUCAAAAUGUGCUGCUAUUGAAUACAGAUCGCCCCGUGAUCAAUUUGAUCGAUUAUUAACGUUUACUAAUACCUAAAGUUGGAUUACAAAAGUAGUUUGAAGUGUUUUGUCAAAGUUUAUAGGCAACUUUUUUAAUUUUAAAAAAUGACGUUGCGUUUUGGAACGGUGCUUUUUCAUGGAUCAGACGGGCUUCAUAAAUGGACAUUUAGGGUAUACAUGGACGGAUUUAAUCGAAAAAAAGACCCAAUUGUGAUGUUUAUGGGACAUAUAGGAGUGCCAACAAAGAAGCUCGUCAAAAGUAAUGAAUGUUUUAUAUUUUAUUUCUGCGUUUUGUGUAGCGCCGGCUACGCUAAUUAUUCUGUUUACGUCCCCUUUGGGUAUUUAUUUAAUUGAGUACCCUGCAUGUGUGUUUUAAUGAAAGUUUGAGUUGUAUCGAGUACUAUUAGUUGUCACUCUGAAAUUUCCUCUGAUUUCCGCUGAUGUUGAUCCCUGUAUAGGGCUGCAGCCCUAAGAGGUUCAUAAAUCCUGACUGCUAGCUCUAGUUUAGACUUGUCUGGCACAAACACUUGUAGCUGAAUGCAUUGCUAAUACCGCCAUUCCCAUCCUGUUUCAUUUUAUGUAUCUCAUUAAUAAUUUACAUAAACGUCUGUGUGUGCUGCAUUGUGGUAUUUUUUUCCUGUGUUGACAGUUGUAAUGGUCAAAAUAAUAAGCAUUAGAAAUGUAUUUAUACAUUUUCUUUCUUUGAUUUUGUUCUAGGUGCCAGUUCCCACAUCAUAAGUUGUGUACUCUGCAGUUUGUACCCUUUAUAUAAUAUUACUUGUUGAUGAAAAGGAAAUUAUAGGAUGUAAAACAAGGAUCAUCAACUAGCUGCGCGACUAUUUUUUAUUGAAUGGAUGGUCAGAACAUAAUAAAAAUAUUUUUAGAAUGCAUAUUGCCCGCAAGAAGCCAAAACAGAUAUAUUUGACUAAAACAUAACAUUUUCAAACCUUGAUUACAUUGCCCUGUGAAGGGUGCUGUCUUUCGGAUGGGACGUUAAAACGAGUGUCCUGACUCUGUGGAGAUGGUUGUCCUUCUGGAAGGUUCUCCCAUCUUGGCAGCACUCCACCAAUAAGGCCUUUGUGAUAGAGUGGCCAGACAGAAGCCACUCAGAAGCCACUCAGUAAAAGGCACAUGACAGCCCGCUUGGUUUGACAAAGGCACCCAAAGGACAAUUGACCAUGAGAAACAAGAUUCUCUGGUCUGAUGAAACCAAGAUUAAACUCUUUGGCCUGAAUGCCAAGCGUCACAUCUGGAGGAAACCUGGUGUAACAGUAUAAUUUUAGACCGUCCCCUCACCCAUACCCGGGCGCAAACCAGGGACCCUCUGCACACAUCAACAACUGACACCCACGAAGCAUCGUUACCCAUCGCUCCACAAAAGCCACGGCCCUUGGAGAGCAAGGGGAACCACUACUUCAAGGUCUCAGAGCAAGUGACAUCACCGAUUGAAACGCUAUUUAGCGCGCACCGCUAACUAAGCUAGCCGUUUCACACCCGUUACACUGGCACCAUCCCUACGGUGAAGCAUGGUGGCAGCAUCAUGCUGUGGGGAUGUUUUUCAGUGACAGGGACUGGUAGACUAGUCAGAAUGUGAAAGAUGAACAAAGCAAAGUACAAACCUGCUGGACCUCAGACUGGGGCGAAGGUUCACCUUCCAACAGGACAACAAUCCUAAGCAGACAGCCAAGACAACACAGGAGUGGCUUCGGGACAAGUCUCGGAAUGCCCUUGAGUGGCCCAGCCAGAGCCUGGACUUGAACCCGAUCGAACAUCUCUGGAGAGACCUGAAAAUAGCUGUGCAGCGACGCUCCCCAUCCAACCUGACAGAGCUUGAGAGGAUCUGCAGAGAAGAAUGGGAGAAACUACCAAAACACAGGUGUGCUAAGCCUGUAGUGUCAUACCCAAGAAGACUCAAGGUUGUAAUCGCUGCCAAAGUUGCUUCAACAAAGUACAGAGUAAAGAGUCUGAAUACUUAUGCAAAUUGUGAUAUUUCAGUUUUUGUAUCAACCAAUGUAAUUUAUAUGGAAACGGCCGAAGCUGCUUACUAUAGCUAGCUAAUGCCCGGUGUACACUAGCAGAAGAGCCGCGCUUCCCAUUUAUUUCCAAUGGAAGGAAAGCGGCGAGGGAUCUUUGGGCGGUGUGAACGUGGUGUGGGAGGUGGUGAAAAAUAAACUUUAUCCAACUUUAUGCAAAUCACCAGCAGUGACUGCUGGACAAUGACUAAUCAUAUCGAGUGGUUCCCAUGACGGAUUUGACGUUAUGCGACCCAACGCAAAUACUAGGAUGGAAGCAAAUGUAAGUGAUUAUAACAAAUGCAAAAAAGGUACAGUUGAGAAUAAUGUGUUAGUUAGUGUAGAGAAAAAACAAAUAUGCAUAUUUUUUAAAUCAUAAAGUUAAUUUAUGAAAAUGGCGAUUUAGCAAGCUAGCUGGUUGCUUUAUGGGUGUUGUGACAGUAUGAAAUUGUCAUUCUGGAAACAACCAGCAAACCAGGCUGUCAUCUUGUGAACAGUGGAUGUAAAUAGUCUAGCUAGCUAAAGCAUUUAUUGCAAAUUGCAUGUGCAAUUUUGUAAGCUUGCCAUGUUGAUAUUUGCCAUGCAAUGCAGAUAUAUGAAAUGACGUAGUUAGCUAACUAUUUUCUUGCUUAUUGUGCAGUGGAGGAUAAAAAUACCUGUAUGCUAUGGAUGUGUAGCUAGCGAUGUAGCCGAUCUGUGUUUGGACCCUAAAACGUUUGGUAUACAUAUUAGUUUGGGCGGUGCACAAUUGACCCAGCGUCGUCAUUGUAAAUAAGAAUUUGUUCUUUAACUGACUUGCCUAGUUAAAUAAAGGUUAAUAAAUAUAUAUAGAAUUCUGAGUGUGAGUCAUUAGGGCCUGGUCCGGGGUGAGCAGUAUGUCCUGCGCAGCCAAAUAAUUGUAGUAGUAAUCUUCAUCCAAAUCGAGGUUAUUGAUCACUGUUGUCCAGAAGCUAUUUUCGGUCAUAGGAAACUAUUGCAAAAAUAUUAUGUAAAAAGCUCAAAUAAAAAAAGUAGCCGAUAAAACGUCCUCUAUACAUUCCAGCGCCAUUCUCAUUCACAAGCGGCUCCUGGCAUUAUGCCUAAAGCGGACAUUGCCAUUGGCAAAUUUGAACACUGGAAUAUGAGAUGUAAUCUACACCUCAAUUAGGAUGCUAGACUCUGUACAUUGACUCUGUACUGGUACCCCCUGUAUAUAGCCUUGCUACUGUUAUUUUGCUGCUGCACUUUAUUUAAAUUAUUUACUUUACGCUUAUUUUUAUUAAACGCUUUGUUGGUUAAGGGCUUGUAAUUAAGCAUUUCACUGUAAUGUCUACACCUGCUGUAUUCAGCAUUUCACUGUAAUGUCUACACCUGCUGUAUUCGGUGCAUGUGACAAAUACAAUUUGAUUUGAAAUCCUCAUUAUUUAGUUUCAUGAUUUUUCAAUUUAAGUGGAAUGAUUUCUAUAUAGCCUACACUUCAUGGCUAUCGCCGGUUAAUGCUUGAACUGAUUGAAUCUAGGCCUAAGAGUCCCACACUUUGUCAUGUAUAUUUUAUUUCAAUUCAACAUUAAUAUACAACCCCAGGGGCCACGUCCAGCACCAGAGCCGCCACCGCGGACAGAUGCCCACCCAGACCCUCCCCAAUAGGUUCAGGUUUUGCCGGCCGGAGUCCGCACCUUGGGGGGGGGGGGGGGGGGGGGGGGGUUUCUAUGUUUGGUCAGGGUGUGAUCUGAGUGUGCAUUCUAUGUUGUGUGUCUAGUUUGUCUGUUUCUGUGUUUUGGCCUGAUAUGGUUCUCAAUCAGAGGCAGGUGUUAGUCAUUGUCUCUGAUUGGGGACCAUUUUAGGUAGCCUGGGUUCACUGUGUGUUUGUGGGUGAUUGUCCUGUCUUUGUGUUU